rnacentral:rRNA from 1 species
AUUGAACGCUGGCGGCAGGCCUAACACAUGCAAGUCGAGCGGAUGAAGGGAGCUUGCUCCUGGAUUCAGCGGCGGACGGGUGAGUAAUGCCUAGGAAUCUGCCUGGUAGUGGGUGAUAACGUCCGGAAACGGGCGCUAAUACCGCAUACGUCCUGAGGGAGAAAGUGGGGGAUCUUCGGACCUCACGCUAUCAGAUGAGCCGAGGUCGGAUUAGCUAGUUGGUGGGGUAAAGGCCUACCAAGGCGACGAUCCGUAACUGGUCUGAGAGGAUGAUCAGUCACACUGGAACUGAGACACGGUCCAGACUCCUACGGGAGGCAGCAGUGGGGAAUAUUGGACAAUGGGCGAAAGCCUGAUCCAGCCAUGCCGCGUGUGUGAAGAAGGUCUUCGGAUUGUAAAGCACUUUAAGUUGGGAGGAAGGGCAGUAAGUUAAUACCUUGCUGUUUUGACGUUACCAACAGAAUAAGCACCGGCUAACUUCGUG